CAACACUUCUGACUCCUCCCAUUUCCACGUUGACUUUCGCACAGUACCGUUCCAAGUUACGCGUUCCAUGUAUAAGAAUAUACGAUUAUCGAUCGAAAUCGAAAACUGUUUAUUUACAUUAUCACCAUAAGAAAAUGAUUUCAGAAUCGGAGAGUGGCAAAAGUUGUGAGGAAGAACAAGACGUAGCAAGGAGGAGGCUGGAUGAAGCUUUGAUACAAAAGAAAAAACAGUUCCAGAAUUUAAGGAACAUUAAAGGAAGAACAGUAAAACGCCGAGAUACGGAUCAACAACAGAGACUUACUGCGUUCAAGGAGUCUUACAAAGGGAAAAAGAGGUACCUCAAAGAAACAAUCCAUGGUCGGUUCUUGAGUGGUAAAACCAUUGGAACUCCUUCGACCAAAGACCACAGGACAAUCUAGAUCGCAGGAAGUCUCACUGCCAUAUAAGUAUUGGUUCUAAGAUUAAUAAGAUGGCAGAGAAUUACAAUGCCUCAGUAAUUUGCUUAAUCCGUUACCCCAAUGGAACUCAACACACCAAGUAUGUGUUAGUAAGCGGAGGUGGAAUUAAAUAUUCCAAAUAAAGAGAUGGUCUUCUAAGUGAACAACUCUGGCAUCGAUAUUGGAACAAAAAACAAAAGAAACGACAACAGUUAUGUGAGGAGAAUGGUCUGUGGCUUUGGAGAGCCAGUAAAAGAAAAAGAAAAGAGAGAACCUAGGAAAGGACAGAGAAAGAGAAAAGUAUGCAAUCAGAUUUAGAGAGACUAGAGAAAAAGAAGACAAGGAAGUAUGGGGCAAUCGAAUGGGGAAACAGAGAAAGAAAAAAAGACAAUCCGAUAACGAGAGCGUAGAAAGUGAAGAAGAAAACAAUGAACGAUUGGACAGCGGAAUAGAGAAUCAGGACAAACACGUAAUGAGAGCGUAGAGAGCGACGAAGAAAACGAUGAAAGAUUGGACAGGGGAAUAUGGAAUCAUAAUAAGAUUUA